GGGGACGUAGCUCAGCCGGGAGAGCGGUGCCUUUGCAAGGCAGAGGUCAGGGGUUCGAGUCCCCUCGUCUCCA
rnacentral:tRNA from 1 species